CCCAAUUUAUAAAAAGUAAAAAAAGUAAAGAAUUAUAGGCUGCUUUGUGCAAGAAAUUGCUGUAUCUUUGGAGGGGCUUCUGAUGACCAAAUUCCCAUUCAAAAAUUGAAAGGGAGGAACUGGUCUCAUUAUUACGCCUCAAGUCCUUAGAGUUGCACAAUAUUUCAAUGUUGACUAGGAUAUUUCAUUUCUUAUAUAAUUUAAUGUUCCUAUCGCAGGUCCUACGUAGGAAAAUUAAUGAAAUUCUCAACUUGGGGGUGCUGGAUUCCACCACUCAAUUGAGGACGUCAGAAUCCUAUAUUGCUCUACUUUCGGGUUCCGAGAGCAAUAGCUGGUUUGCGGGGUUACCCUUGGAUGGAAAAAAGGCAAAGAACAGGCGUGUGAAUACAUACAUGCAGAAUCGAGCUGUGCUUGAAAAGAGCCUGGGGGAGAGGCCAAGAGAACCUUAUUAAAGCUCUGAUAAAGAAUGGAGCUGAUUCACGAGUCUCACUAGGAGAAGGUAGGAGAUAUUAUCCUAUCCUAUCCCUAGGCUUCAUUAGGUUGCGAAGUGCAUAAAAGCUUCUUUUAUUUAUCAAAAAGGGGUUCUUCUUCAUUUGGGAGUGCGCAAGGCAAUAUGGAUUGGAGAGGAAAACUUACCAAGAACACUUUUUUAAGCCAAAGAGAAAAUGGCUGUUAGGUCUGGUAAGUUUGAAAGGGAUUUAGCUACCAAGGAGAAUCGUGCGAGCAAGUUGGAAAAACUACCACAAAGCUCCGCAACCAGCUAAGACCCUAGUGCAAAGAGAAAGGUGACCUCCCAAUUGUAUAAAGUAGAGAUAUUGAUUGUCUCAAAAUAGAGAUGUUGGACUCGAAGCAUUCGUUAGAGUUAGGCUGCAUGGGCGGCUGGAAAAUCUGAAGCUGGAGAAGGAGACUCAGAAAAGACACGAAUAGAGGCAAAGCAAAGUGGAGGAGAAGGGUUUAGGCUCACAAACAUUGACAAAGCCAUAGCCAACUGCCUCCUAUCUCCAGAGCAUGUUGUUAUCGUGCACAAUAUAAAGGUUGAAUAUGGCAAUGAAGGCGGAAUACAAGGCUUUUGGAUGGAGUUGCCGCACUCCAUCCUACAUUGGAGAUCGAGGUUAAAAAGAAAGAAAGAAAGAAAGAAAGAAUAUGGUUCUAAGAAAAGGCAGGAAAUCUACACUGCCAGCUCAGUCGCUCCUGUGCACCAAAGCCGGCCGAGUAUUCACAAGUAACAGAGACAUGACCAAGUGAUUUAGUUAAGCCAUAUUUUUAUUCUUUUCACGUUUUAAUUACUUGUUAAGAGUAUCAUGGGGUUAUUUUGCCUUUUUUCAGGCAAACAAUAAGUAGAUCUGCCUUUUCCUUUUGUUGAAUUUAA